AUGAAGAAGAAUGCCUCUCCUGGACCUGAUGGAUUCAAUGUGGGUUUCUACCUUUCGGCUUGGAGUUGGAUAGGAGAUGAUGUGACCAAUUUGGUAAGAAAUUUCUACACCACGGGUAUUGUUCCGCCUCAUCUCAAUGAUACUCAAAUUGCCCUCAUUCCGAAGAAACUUGCUUCGCAUCUGCCUUCUGACUUUCGGCCCAUAAGUUUGUGUAAUCUUGUUUACAAAAUCAUUGCUAAAUCUUUAGCCAAUAGGUUGAAAGGGCAUUUGCCUGAUUACAUUCACCCCUCUCAGCAAGCUUUCAUUGAAGGUAGGCGCAUAAGCAAUAAUAUUAUUGUCGCCCAAGAAAUUGCCCACUCAUUCUCUCUUGCUUCUUGGAAGAGCCUUGAUUUUAUACUGAAAAUUGACCUUGCCAAAGCUUUUGAUAGAAUUGAGUGGCACUUCAUUGUCUCGACUCUUGCUCGUAAAGGUCUCCAUGACCAUUUCAUAAAACUUGUUCAUGCAUGCAUUUCAUCCCCAACGUUUUCAGUGAUCAUUAAUGGUCAAUCUUUUGCAAAAUUCAAUAGUUCCAGAGGUAUUAGACAGGGAUGUCCUUUGUCACCGUAUCUUUUUGUCCUUGCAGUAAAUGAGUUAUCUCUUAUGUUACAGGAUGCCUUGCAAGCUAAUCACCUGACAGGUAUUUCGCUUGGACCAAAUUGCCCUCCUAUUCACUCUUUGAUGUUUGCAGAUGACCUGAUUGUUUGUGGCAAAGCUAAUGCGCAGGAAGCUAAUACUAUCUACAGCUUUAGACCAUUUUUGUUGUGAUUCAGGGCAAACUCCAAACUGGAGUAA
rnacentral:rRNA from 1 species